AGUUUGAUCCUGGCUCAGGACGAACGCUGGCGGCGCGCCUAACACAUGCAAGUUGAACGAGCGAGAGAGAGCUUGCUUUCUCGAGCGAGUGGCGAACGGGUGAGUAACGCGUGAGGAACCUGCCUCAAAGAGGGGGACAACAGUUGGAAACGACUGCUAAUACCGCAUAAGCCCACGGCUCGGCAUCGAGCAGAGGGAAAAGGAGCAAUCCGCUUUGAGAUGGCCUCGCGUCCGAUUAGCUAGUUGGUGAGGUAAUGGCCCACCAAGGCGACGAUCGGUAGCCGGACUGAGAGGUUGAACGGCCACAUUGGGACUGAGACACGGCCCAGACUCCUACGGGAGGCAGCAGUGGGGAAUAUUGCACAAUGGGGGAAACCCUGAUGCAGCGACGCCGCGUGGAGGAAGAAGGUCUUCGGAUUGUAAACUCCUGUUGUUGAGGAAGAUAAUGACGGUACUCAACAAGGAAGUGACGGCUAACUACGUGCCAGCAGCCGCGGUAAAACGUAGGUCACAAGCGUUGUCCGGAAUUACUGGGUGUAAAGGGAGCGCAGGCGGGAAGACAAGUUGGAAGUGAAAUCCAUGGGCUCAACCCAUGAACUGCUUUCAAAACUGUUUUUCUUGAGUAGUGCAGAGGUAGGCGGAAUUCCCGGUGUAGCGGUGGAAUGCGUAGAUAUCGGGAGGAACACCAGUGGCGAAGGCGGCCUACUGGGCACCAACUGACGCUGAGGCUCGAAAGUGUGGGUAGCAAACAGGAUUAGAUACCCUGGUAGUCCACACUGUAAACGAUGAUUACUAGGUGUUGGAGGAUUGACCCCUUCAGUGCCGCAGUUAACACAAUAAGUAAUCCACCUGGGGAGUACGACCGCAAGGUUGAAACUCAAAUGAAUUGACG
rnacentral:rRNA from 1 species